UGAGGAAUAUUGGUCAAUGGGCGGGAGCCUGAACCAGCCAAGCCGCGUGACGGAAGAAGGCGCUAAGCGUCGUAAACGUCUUUUGCCGGGGAACAAAAGGCGCGGACGCGUCCGCGUGUGAGUGUACCCGGAGAAAAGCAUCGGCUAACUCCGUGCCAGCAGCCGCGGUAAUACGGAGGAUGCGAGCGUUAUCCGGAUUUAUUCGGUUUAAAGGGUGCGUAGGCGGCCUGUUAAGUCAGCGGUAAAAGCCCGGGGCUCAACCCCGGCGAGCCGUUGAAACUGGGGGGCUAGAGACGGCGAGAAGUACGCGGAAUGCGCGGUGUAGCGGUGAAAUGCAUAGAUAUCGCGCAGAACUCCGAUUGCGAAGGCAGCGUACCGGCGCCGGACUGACGCUGAGGCACGAAAGCGUGGGUAUCGAACAGGAUUAGAUACC
rnacentral:rRNA from 1 species